UGUCAGCAGGGUCCCUGUAGGAAAGAAGAUAUGUUGUAUCAGGGAGUGAACUGCUUUAUGUGGAAGAGAGGAGAUCUCACACAUUGAUCUCUUCAAAUAUUGAAAGAUACCCAGAGGUAAUAUAGAAGUUGAAGGAAAACAUGCUGCCUUCAAACCUACAAUAAAAUUACUGGUGAUAGAGACAGUCCAUGAUAGAAAUGGAUAUCCAACUCUUAUAGGAAGGUAAAGGGAGUAAAAAGGAGAGGCAUUCCAGGCCUCGGAUCUUUUUUUGUGGCUCUGCUCUGCAUCUGCUCAACCUGGUCCAUGUCCUUCCUUUGCUGAGGAUCCCAGAGCUGAAUACAACACUACAGUGGUGACAUUCUUACAUGGCUUCCUGCAGCCUGAAAAAGACAGCAUCUCAGUGAAGAAGGAUCAAUCUAACUGGAAAGCUGAGGCCCAAGGGCUUUCUCCAGAGCAAAUACAGCCAACAGUGAUUUCUGACCUGAAUAUAAAGACACUCAUUGUCCUACAUGUAUACGAACAGAAUCCUGUUCAGAUCAUGUGUGUGAAAGGCUGUUGUCCACUUUGUGGGAUUGAAAACAUCAAGCACAAGUCAUUCAGAAACAUCUCAUAUGACCAACAGAGUAACACGACUUCCAGAAAAGCCUGCUGAAGGUGCAAGUGCCUCCUCCACUGAGCCACUCAGGCGCAGCUCUAGGGCUCCAAGCUGGAUUCAAGUGUGAUCUUGGGACAUCUGUAUCAAAGGAGACCUCUCCUGAAUGUGUUCCUUGCAGGUGACAGCUGUCCCUAAGGACAACAAGCCUGCCUGGCUGGGUAGGAAGGUGUCAGAUCCCGUGAGAGGAAGGAAUGAAAAAGCUGAGGCAGAGCAUAUGAAAGGAAAAAAGGUCUUUUGCCUUCCUAGCUCUCUGCUCCCAACGAGUAGCCUCAGUUUGAUUUAGGCCUGGUUUCUGCGGACACAUGAUAGAAAUCCUGCAUCCCUUCAUCUUCUCAUGGUGGACCUGAAUGGCAGCUCUGAGAGAAGCAACGCCUGAUAAGCCCUGACUUCCAAACAACACAGGGCACCACUGAUUAGCAGCUCACAGUUCAUUCCCUUCCCACUCCUCCAGAGAGUCAUAUUGGAGAAGAAGCUGUGUCUGGAAGGCCCGUGACACCACUGGACACCCGUAUCUUGUGCUUAUUUUAUUCAGAAGUGCCCACUGCAGGGAACAGCUUGGUUUCCAUAGCAGAAAUGCACAGUAAAUAUCACCUCUGACAGAACCUCUGCCAACCAUAGAGCAGAAAGGACCUGGGGAUCUGGAAGAAGAACCCAGUUAGGCCAACAGAUACAGAUGAGAGGUCUAUGUCUGCCACUUUAAAAAAAAAAAAAAUCGAGUAAAAAAGCAUACAAUGCAAAAUUCUCCUUGACCUUUGUGUCCUUCUGGAUGAGGUUCUUUUCUCUGGUAUUGGUUUCAGCUGUGGAAGUUUUAGUUGUCUGGGUUUAGCAAGCUCUGCAAACCCUUCCGAUCUGUUGGACAACCUUCUAGCUGAUGCUUUUGAGAUCUGGCUGUGUGUCUACUGCCUGCUAUUCUGAGCAGUCUGCUGAAAGCCCCCAUGUCCAGAUCUCUUCCCAGUGCUUUACCACCCUUUCUGUGAAGAAAUUCCUCCUAAUGUCCAACCUGAACCUCCCCUGGCACAGCUUGAGGCUGUUUCCUCUCACCCUGUCCCUUGUUCCCUGGGAGCAGAGCCUGACUCCCCCCCCCACACACACCUCCCUCCUGUCAGGGAGUUGUAGAGCCAGAAAGUCUCCCCUGAGCCUCCUUUUCUCCCUGAGCCCCUCAGCUCCUUCAGCUGCUCCUGCUGCUCCAGUCGCUUCCCCAGCUCCAUUCCCUUCUCUGGACACGCUCCUUUUAAUUCAUUCUCUCCCUUCUGGUUAUAGCAAUAGAUCACUUUUAGUAGACUGAACCAAGAAAACAAAAUUAAUCCAAAUGCUACAUAUACAUUUCUUAUUGUUGCCAAAAUAGGUUAUUAUCACAUAUUUGGAAAACGGACAGGGUUACCAGAAUAGAUUAUCUUCUGAAUGUGAGUGCAGGAAUAAGAGAAGGCUUUAACUGUAGGAAUGAAAUUAUCAACAUGCACCAGAAGGAGUUGCCUCAUAUGCUGAAUUGCUCACAAAAUGCAAAGAUAAGCACCAAGUUUCUUGUUCAUUUUUAAAGAAAGAUGUUCAGCAUUUUUUAUUGCUUAAUGUUAGUUUUACAGUAAUUUUGAAGACAAUUCCCAGUGGGAUUUGCAGCUUGCAAAUGCUAUUCUCAGCUAUGCUGUUAAUAUUUAUAACACAUGCCAAGAGGGAUCUUUGUGCCUGUGGACCGAUAAGGAAUGUGUAGCCUCAUACUGAAGAUCCCUGGGUAAAACAAGACCUCUCAGGAAUGCUGGCAUGAGACAAGGAGAAAUGCCAGAACACUAAUUCUCUGGUGCAAAGCUUCUCAUUCUGACACUUUAGCUAAGAUGUGCCUAGGCACUGGAUCCUGGAGAUGCAAAUGUCAGAGAAAGAUACAUGAGCAGUAGGUUCUGGACGAGGAGGUGACAUUCAGGAUGCCCUUUCCAUCACAUGCCAAAGCAGCUGAACAGCUUCAGUUACAGAACAGAAUCUGUUGCCCCUCGAGACCCAGGUCUCUGUCAGGCUCAUGCUGGGACAGCCUCUUACUGUCUCGGUAGCUGCAUCAUGAAGGAAAAGUCACAUUCUGGGCACAGAGUCCUCCUUGGAGAAGAGAUCUGCAGAACCAACGACAUGAAGCACAACUUGUUUAAUUAAGACUCUGCACUCUUCAGCAAGGGCUUGAUCUUGAAGAACAGCUUCAUCCAGGGCCAGUGUUUGACAUUCAUGAAUGCACGAAUGUUGUACUGGAUGCAGAAGAUGGACUCUCUGGAGCAUAAUUCAGAUGUGCAAUGAGUAUUUUCAGUCUGAAAAGUGUCAACACUUUCCCUCAAGCACAGUGAGUUUAACUGAAGACGAGGAAUGUGUACCUUCUCUCCACCAUUCUCUGGUACUCCACCCUCAUCAGGAAGCCUCUGCAUCUGGCCUGUGUGCGGGUGAUGAGCUGUGCCAGCUUCUCAUCCCUCAUCUCCUCCAGGAGCCCCAGCAGCCCAGCUUUGAAGAACACCUUAGAGAGGGAAUGUUGCAGCACAUCACUGUCAGGCCGGGCAAAGCACAGGCACGGAAUGUAACUAUGGGUCUUCAUGUGUACUUUCUAGUUGUAUAGCAAGAGGAUUCAUCACUCAGAGAGAUGGAGGCAUGAACAGUCCUUCCUGCUGUGACAGAGACUAAUCAAGUACACAUCUCACAUCAGAGUUCACUCCAAUAGGUGAGAGUGAAGAGGAGCAGUUUCCCUUCCUGGUAGGGCUGAACCAUUUCACUACUCCACACUACAGCAGAGAUUGCAAGAUGUAUUUCAACUUAAGUAUGACCAACAAUGGUGUAGGAAUUGACAUCCAUGGCUCCAGUUUCCUGGCAGGGUAAGCCAGAUCUGUUACUUAUGAAGUAGUCACAGAUAAAAACUACAGGUACCAUUAGAUGAGAUACGUCUCAACUGUCAUCUAGUCAUGGAACAACUACUCUUCUUUUUAGUUUACACAUUUGCAUAUUUAAAGCCUGAAAUCUACCUAAAUCCUUCUUGUGACAAAGAAUAUCUCUUUUGGAAAGAAUAUCUCUUUUGCUGACUCUGCUGAUACCUUCUGUGCCGUCAGGCUCUGCCUGCUCCUCUCGUUGUUUCUGCUUGAACUUCAGGUUCCCAUAGUGCAUGACAGCCCCUGUCAGCUUGUAGAUGGCUGUUUUCUCAUCAGCAGAGAAGCCCAGGAUGUCAAUGGCACUCUAGCAACAGAAAAAUAAAUGUACAUGUACCAGGGCACCAAUCCACCGUAUGACCUGUUUGAUAAAGUUACUCACAUCUGUUGCCAUCAGCUCCUCCUGGUCAUCGAUGCUGGGAACAGUGAUCUCACCUUGACUCACAAAGUGGAAAUCGUAAGGGUUGGUGGUGAUGAGGAGCAUGUCUGAAAGAAAUAAAGGGGAAAAAGAAGAUUACUAUAGCUUUCCAGAUGACACAAUGAACUAUUUCUCAGUAAUCUUCCUUCAAAAAAAGUUAGUGAUCUUCCUACCAAUUAGCUCUGGCUUCUUGUUGGACAUGAUCUGAUAAAAGAUGUGGUAGCUUCUUUCCGCCUUGAGCUGGAAAGUGACUCUGGACUUCUCCAGCAGAUCUGCCCAGGAAGGUUGAAAGAGUUAGGCACAGCAAUGCACAUGGAGGUGGGAAUUUGGGAAGGCAUUGGACCAGUCCAGGAGAGUCUCUUACAAGUUUCAAUGUCAGCAGAAGCCAGUUUGCCUGUGGCCCCAAAGUGGAUUCUGAUGAAUUUGCCCUGUUAAGGAGAAGCAGCAGCAUUUCAGCCUGUAUGGUUUCUUCUGACAUCUCCUUUACAUGGAGACCUGCUCAGGCAUCACUUGCCCUGCCAUGAGAGGGAGAGAUUUUGUCCAAGUCACCAACUCACAAAGCGCGAGGAGUUGUCGUUCCUCACGGUCUUGGCGUUUCCAAAGGCCUCCAGCAGUGGGUUGGCGCUGAUGAUUUGAUCCUCAAGCGUCCCCUGCCGAGGGAAAAUUACUCAUGGACUGUGUUGAGUCAACAGGGCAAUGACAGCCCAAGUGCCCAGUCUGUUCUUCCUGACUCACCUGCAUUUUGCCUGACUGCUCCUCCUUUUUCUUCUCCCCGCUGGCUGCAAUUGUUGCAAAGUACUGGAUGACACGCUUUGUGUUCACAGUCUUCCCGGCACCGGAUUCUCCGCUGUCAGAGCAAGGAGAGAAGCAGAGAGCGUGUGGUCAGGCAGGAGGGGCCCUGGCCCUGGGCAGCCCCUCAGGGACCCGAGCAGGGGGUGUACGUACGUGAUCAGGAUGGACUGGUUCUCCCGAUCUGGGGAAGAGACAGAGAUAAGAAACCUUUUCCUAGUAUUUAUGAAUAACAAAAAAUUUGAGAACUAGGAGAAAAAUAAGAACUGAAGCUUCCAGAGAAUCCAGGAACAGAAAGAGUAAAAAGACCUGGGAAUUCUAGUGGGUACUUUUGAUGCUCCCAGCACUACUUCAUCUAUUAGCAACUGAUUCAGUAAAGACAUCACUUCAGAGAAGCUUUUAUAGUCUUAUGCCUUUCCUGACGUCUCUUCAUCAAGCCACUUAUCUCUUAUUAGCCAAGUAAAUGUAAUGAAAAUAUAGGGGUUAUACUUUGAUAGUAUGUAAGUUGUUCUUAACCUAAAAGUUUCCUGAAUAAUCUUACGGAAAUUUUGAGGCAUCAUUAAUGACAGAAACAUAUGACCAAGCUCUUUCACUCUUUUUCACCUCUUCUUUAUAAUCUCUAUAAAUACAGAAAUUUUUCAGUCUUGAGGUCAUCCACUGAUAACUUUUAUUUCUGAUUUUUCUAUUCUGAAUGUAUUUCCCAAUUUCUAAGAAAAGAAGAAGUUCUAAAUUCCCACACACCUUUGAUUUCAAUGCACAUAUAGGGAAGAGAAAACAAGAAGUGGAAGGAAGAGGAAAGAGCAGAAAGACAUUUUUGAAGUCAUUCAAUUUAAAUGCUAAAAGUUUUAUUUUUUUCCUUGACAUCGUUUUCUGAGGUUUACUUUUCACUAUUGCAGUUGAUUUUUAGUUGCAGUCACAAAUCAGUGUAGGAGUUCCAGAUGUUGUUAAGGGCUGUAUGUACUUUAGACAUCUUUUACAUAAUGCAAGCCAUUUGCAUAAUAAUAAAGUCAGGCUUAUGUACCUGUUCAAGGCAGAGAUACUCUGUUUUACUUGUUAGCAUUGAUGCUUGAAAAUUUAAAUUGACUUAAUGCAGUUCAUUUAUAGGGGCCGUGUCAUUUAGCUGUACUCUGUAGUCUCUGUCUGAAACUAAUUUAGUGGUUAAGAUACAUAAAUCUAUUCAUAUAUGUAAGAUUCCAUUACAGUCAGUAAAGUCUGUAUCACAAAAUAGGUGGUUUUUCCACUGAAUUUAGUCUAUCUACAUUAUGUCCAAGUCUUUAGUGAUUCUAAUGGGAAUACAGACACUCAGCUCACACAGACCAUUAAAGCUCAGUGCAUUAAUCUUCCAUUAAUUUCACACACACACGAUUUUUUUUAAGUGGGGCACCAUCUUUUUAGAGAAUGCCCUACAUUUCCCUCUACAGAGAGAUGAUUGCAAGACCAGCUCAAAGGAAAUCAAGCACUCACCAGUCAGCAUGAACUGAUAGGCGUUGUCAGAGAUGGAGAAGAUGUGUGGAGGGGCCUCCUGGCGCUUCUUGCCUCGGUAGGCCAACACCACCUCCGGGUUGUACACGGGCAGCCACUUGUAGGGGUUGACAGUGACGCAGAAGAGACCCGAGUAGGUCUGCGAGGAAGGGACACAGCACGUUGGCUUCCCCUGGGCCUGGCAGAGCAGUUCCUCCAGCUGCCCAAAGGAAGCUGCUGCUGCCACUUACGUAGAUCAUCCAGGCUGCGUAACGCUCUUUGAGGUUGUACAGCACAGCGGGUUCAUGGAGGUGGGUCAUCAUAGCCAUGUCCUCGAUUUUGUCAUACUUGGGAGGGUUCAUGGAGAAGAUUUGAUCUUCCUUCACGGUCAGGGUCUGCCAAGGAAACAAAAGAUCCACAUAUGUCAACUGAAAACUCAGAAUAUGAAUCAAAUGUUGUCCUUCAGGCUUGUUUUUCACUCACCUCUCCCUUUUCAGUCUUGACAGUGACUUUCCCUGAUUCCCUGCUCUGAAUUGUCCCUUUCACAAAGGAUUCCUUUGCGUGUACCACAAAGACGGAUGUCUUGGCAUCAAAAGGCUUGUUCUGGGCUGCAAUUCUCUCCUUUUCUGACUUUCGGAGGGCCUGGAGUCCAGUAGAACUAGAAGCAAACCACAGCACAGCCAGAAGAGGCAGAAUCAGAGGAAUCCCUGGAUAAAGAUGGUCCUGCACAGACAUAAGGUGUGGGCAAAGUGCUGAUGUGAUGACAUCCAAGCAUGCUGAAAACAGGUCCCAUCCCACUUUCUAUUUAAAAAUCCUGGUCAUGUGGACACACAGACAGGCUCUUUCUCUUUAGGAUGCUGAGAUACCGCCACAGCGGAAAAGCUUGGAAUAGGAGAUUCAGUCCAAGGAGAUGACCCUUGGGAUGCCCUUUCAAUCCCCCACCAAAGGAGCUGAGGGGCUCCUAUUACAGAGCAGACUCUGCACUCUUCAGCAAGGGCUUGAUCUUGAAGAACAGCUUCAUCCAGGGCCAGUGUUUGACAUUCAUGAAUGCACGAAUGUUGUACUGGAUGCAGAAGAUGGACUCUCUGAAAGGAAGAAAGAGUGAAGACUCUACUGUACCCGGAAAAGAGCCGAGACAGUCUGGAAAGAAGAACCCUUCUUCUUGGCACCUUUCUUGCCUGCACCACUGGCCUCGGCUAAAUUAAAAAUAAAUAAAACAGAUUUUAGAUUUUU